GAUGGAUCUCAUACUGGAACCAGCUGUAAUGGAACAACAAAUAAAUGCAAUCCAAGAGAGUUGCCUUGUGAAGGUGGAUGAACUGUUGAAAAUCAAACAAAAGCAGGAUCAAGAUAAAGCAGCUGUCAGACUGCAUUCACUUAAUUUGGUCCCAUGCUAGUUACAAUGUCAACAAGGGAGCUAUUUCAUCCUCGAAGUCAAAGGGAGCUAAAAGGUUGGAAUGUCUCAGAGCUACAAAUUCAGGGAAACAGUUUGGCUAAUUAGUUGUCUAUUUGGAUUUUUCUUCUUUUAUUUGCUACUUUCUGUACACACAUAUAAUACCUUGCAAGCACAAAUAACCUCUACCCCAAUUUUAGACCAUAACUCAGAGAAGAAAAUUUAUAAGCUUACUAUCAUUGCUAGAGCCAAUGGCUGAUGAUGUCACUUAACUCUAACUAGUAGUGGAAACAAAUGAAAAUGAAAAUAAUAAUAAUAAUAAUAAUAAUAAUAAUAAUAAUAAUAAUAAUAAUAAUAAUAAUAAUAAUAAUAAUAAUAAAAGAACAAAAGAUGAAAAUUUUAAAUAUUUUGUGAGCAGAGAAGAAGAUUAAAAGGUGAAAUAAAAAGAAAACCUAGCUUCAUCCAGUGAUUGAUAGAAAUAUUGCCCUAUUGGGAAUAGUCAUUGGUGGUGACAAAGAGGAUUGAAGAUUGUUGAUAAGUAGAAAGAUAUAGGUGGUCUUGAGAAUGAGAUAAUCAAGAUUGAUGCCUUGUUUGCAAAGUUGGUAGCCAAUUGUUCAUUUUUUUAUUGGUCAUUGAUAGUGCUGGGGACUAUGCCUCAUGUUGAACUUAAGUUUAAGGUGUGGUUGGUUGGUGUUUAGGAUUUGAUCUAUAAGAUGUGUUGGGGCAGAUUAAGAAGAUGUAAUUGAAAAAGAAAGGAAACUGAUACUCGGAAUUCUAAUUUUAAAGUGCCUGCUUGACAAUCAUAAAGAUGCUUUUCUAGUUAUUUUUCUAUUCUAUAGAAAUGGAAUGGGUUCUGUAACAUCAGUUUUAGGUCAGUUUUGGAUAAUGCUCCAAACAAAAGAAUUGGAAUUGGAAGCCCAUUGUCCAAUUCCAAAAACCAAUUCCAGAUGCACCAAAUAGGCUAAUAGUAUAAUAUGUUUAUUUGUUCAUUCUUACCAUUGAAAAACUUCUCAUUUAUUCUUUGGCCAAGCCUUUAUUCAAAUUACAGUAGUUGAAGCCCACAAAUGUUCAAGAACACAUACCUGUACAUCAUCCAGAGGUUGUUCUUUACUUCGGGGUGUAUCACAACAUACGACACUAGUUAAAGAUAGAAAAUUUUUGGUCCUAGGUGGACAAAUGUUAAUUGAAAUGAGGGACAAGAUUUAUUGCAUGACAGACCAAGUGAUGCAAAAGGUAGGGCAGUAUGAUCCAUAUGGAUGUUUUCUCAUAGAAGUAAGAAGUUCUAUUUACUCUAGUUUGGUUUUAUCACAGAGAUAUUGUCACUUUUGUGUAACGGAAUACACAAUUAUGUAGGAUGUGUUUUGCAAUGAUACAAGGGAUCUAUCUGUGAUGGAUUAUACUUGACAUAUUUUUUAUUGGCUUACAAACUCAAAGGAUGAUGCUCUUAGAAAAUGGGAGCCUAUAAUAAGUGGUGAGUUGCAACAGAAGCAGAAAGCAGUCAUAGGUGAGGUAACAACUUCACAGAUGGCCCAAUUCAGAUGUGUUGACAUAAAGAAAACAUAGUUUUGUGACUUUCGAUUUCGUCUCGGUACUGGAUACCUCUAACAUCAGGAAGACUGCAAGUAUACCAUGGUUAUCAAGAGACAUGAGAUUGAUUCUCCUGAGGAUGUCCAGAACUAGGCAGCUUAUCCAAUAGUAAUUUUCCAAAAAAAAAAAAAGGGGUUCCAGAAAUGCAACGUUUGCAACAUUUUCAGGACCACAAAGUGACUGUGGAUGACGAAUGGACCCCAGAAAACCCUUGCUAUUUCUGUAAUGACUGCUAUUACCUUCUUCACUACACUGAGAAUGGAUCUUUAAUGUAAAACAAUGUUGUUAAAGGCAAGAAAAGGCAUUGGGCCGGGCUAGGCAAGGUGAGCCCCCAACGCCUCGCCUAGCUGAGGCGAGUCCAUUACAAAUAGGCGAUCCUGAUAUUGGUUAGGCCAGGGGCGAUGGGCGAUGCAUGGGGCAAAUAACAUACAUUUCAUUUUUUUUCAAAUAGCAUAAUGAUGCAGAUUAUAUUCCUAAAGAUUUUAGGAGUACCCACUUUAGGAAAAAAUAUAAAAAAUAAGAAUUUUUAGAGAUUUUUGUGUAUCCCACAUUGGAUUAGACAUAACACCCUCACUUUAGGUAGUCCGUAUAUUCUACUGUUCCGAUGACUAACGUCUGUUCGGACAGCCAAGAUGUCUAGAACUACAUCUAAACUAAAGUAACGAAACAUAAAUUGACUGAAUAUAGACUAAGUGAAAUUAAAGAAAAGUAAAAGAAGCGAAGUACAACUCGGUUAAACGAGCCGGGGUCACGGCGAUGGGUGACCAUACUGGGAAGCGACUGUGAAGACAGUUGCUGACCCUAGUCCCGCGAGGAACUUUAGAAAAUAAUUUUCGGGAUUAAAUUAGAGAAUUUAUGAAAAUUAAAUAACAUUAAAAAUGUUAAACAAAUUCAGGAAAAUUAGUUAAUCGGUACUGACAAAAAAUAACCUGAUGAGCCUAGUGAAGGGCAUUUUGGUCAUUUUAACCAUAUAGUUGAAUUUUAACUGAAAUAUUAAUUAAAAUGAGAGAGAUUAAAAUGCAUAAAAUAAAUUAAAUUGUGAGAUUAUGUAUAGAAAUGGGAAAAGAAAAAAAAAUAUAUUGCAUGAGUAUAAUGUCAUAAUGACAUCAUAAAAAGUGGUAACAAAUGCGAGCUCAACAAAUAACUAUUAAGGGAUAAGAAAGAGUGUUAAAUGAGACAAAAAUUAAUGUUAAAUGAGACAAAAAUUAAUAAAAGCCUAUCUUCUUCUUCACCCUUCUCCCAUGGCCGAACCAUAUGGAGAGCUUUCUCUCCUCUAUUUCCAUCUUUCCUAGCUCAAUUUUCCAUCAUUUCUUACUAUAAAACCCUAAGCUCCCUUCAUUAAAAAUUGUCCUUACACCAUAAGGAAGAUUGUGGCUGCCAAGAAGUGAAGAAAAAUUUGAGUUCACAAGUCCAAGAAGUGUUCACAAAAGGUACAAGAGAGCAGCAGCAGCAGCAGUAUCAGUAGUAGUAGUGCUAGAUAGGAUUCUGAUCAGGUCUGCUACAGAGUGGUUGUUACCUUAGACUGUUAUUUUGAUAGGGCUAAUAUAUAGUUAAAUUUUGCAUUUUGGUUAUUGUAUGUAAGUAAACAGUGUAAGUCAUUUUGUAAUUGUAAAUAAAAUUGUAAAUAUUGUACUUGAGUUUAUAUGAAUGCAAUACAGUAUUUAAUUUACUUGAAA